UACGGGGGGGGCAAGCGUUGUUCGGAAUUACUGGGCGUAAAGGGCUCGUAGGCGGCCAACUAAGUCAGACGUGAAAUCCCCAGGCUCAACCUGGGAACUGCGUCUGAUACUGGUUGGCUUGAAUCCGGGAGAGGGAUGCAGAAUUCCAGGUGUAGCGGUGAAAUGCGUAGAUAUCUGGAGGAAUACCUAUGGCGAAGGCAGCUCGCUGGGACGUUACUGACGCUGAGACGCGAAAGCGUGGGGAGCAAACAGG
rnacentral:rRNA from 1 species